UACGGAGGGUGCGAGCGUUGUCCGGAAUCACUGGGCGUAAAGGGCGCGUAGGUGGCCUGUGGAAGUCUGCGGUGAAAGCCCGGCGCUCAACGCCGGGUCGGCCGUGGAUACUCUCGGGCUCGAGCUUACUAGAGGCAGAUGGAAUUCCGGGUGUAGCGGUGGAAUGCGUAGAGAUCCGGAAGAACACCGGUGGCGAAGGCGGUCCGCUGGGGUAAUGCUGACACUGAUGCGCGACAGCGUGGGGAGCAAACAGG
rnacentral:rRNA from 1 species